CAUUUUUCCCAGAUCAUAUUUGCUCCUUUUUAAAACUGUGGUUUGGACACCAGACACCUGAAAUUGGAAAUAAUUAGGCCAAGGAACUUGCCAUUUGCUGUCUGUACCAGCAGGAGUGACAUUCAGCCAGGCAAGUUCCUGGACAAUGCUGAAUCAUCUCACAUCCUGUGGUUCAUCGUCAAGGAUGUCAUGAUCUUACCAGACAGUAAACCAAUUCUCUGGAGAAUGACCACCUUGGAGGGCCAAUUUACAUCGAGUGUCUCACAAAGCCAGGUGAUAUUUUCAGGGAAGUGUUAUCAGCAUGAUGCAGCACCAAACAUUACAGCUAUUCCAUCUUCAUAUUAUAUCCCACCACUUUUUCAAAGCUCUGUCUUAGGGACUUCCUGGUGGCUCAGUGGUUGAGAAUCCGCCUGCCAAUGCAGGGGACACGGGUUCGAUCCCUGGUCCGGGAAGAUCCCACAUGCCGUGGAACAACUAAGCCCAUGUGCCAAAACUACUGAGCCUGCGCUCUAGAGCCUGUGAGCCACAACUGCUGAGCCUGCGGACCACAACUACUGAAGCCUGCGUGCCUAGAGCCCCUGCUCCGCAACAAGAAAAGCCACCGCAAUGAGAAGCCCGUGCACCACAACGAAGAGUAGCCCCCACUUGCCGCAACUAGAGAAAGCCCACGCACAGCCACAAAGACCCAACACAGCCAAAAAUAAAUAAAUAAAUAGAUAGAUAAAUUUAUUAAAAAAUAAAUUAAAAAAAUAUAUAUGGCAUUAAUUUCCAAAAUGUUUUUUAAAAAAAAGCUGUCUUAAAACUAUUGAA